rnacentral:rRNA from 1 species
GACGUAGGUCGCAAACGUUAUCCGGAAUUAUUGGGCGUAAAGGGUGCGUAGAUGGUAUAAUAAGUUGCCAGUGGGAAAUCGAGGCUCAACCUCGUGGAAGCUGGUAAUACUGCUAUACUUGAGUGCAGGAGAGGUUAACGGAACUCCAUGUGGAGCGGUAAAAUGUGUAGAUAUAUGGAAGAACAUCAAUAACGGCGAAGGCAGUUAACUAUUCUGUUACUGACGUUGAGGCACGAAAGCGUGGGGAGCAAAAAGG